rnacentral:lncRNA from 1 species
AGUCAUUUUCGAUAAACUACUGCAUAAUGCAUAAAAAUAUUUAAUUUUUCUGAAUUUUAUUUUUGAAUGAAAAUGCUUUCGAGUAAUAUGGUAGAUUCGAUACGUAUUAUCAGUUUGAUGAUUAUUAAAUUUAUUUAAUUAAACGAUUAACUGAUUAAAUUAAUAUAUUUUUAUAUUAUUCGAACAAGUUCUCGACUUUGUUAAGUUUUUAAUUGUUAUAGAAGUUUAACUCUUUUUUUUUUUUUCAUUCUUUCUUAUUGACGCGAUGAACAUCAAUUCUUGUUAAAAUAGAGUUGUAGCAUCCCCAGAUUGGUUGCUAGGUAACGCAACGGAUCGUGUCCAUUUGUAUUUGCCCUAGCAGGUUCAAAGAUACGGCCAAUGCUUGUUAUGCAGGAUGAGGAUGAGAAGUUCUCUUUUCAUCCCGAAAUGGUGAAACAGUAGUCGAUAGGGUCUUAGUGGUUAUUGUUGCCAUGGUUACUCAUCCGUUCCACUCUAACACCGAGGGGUGGGAGAGAUCGGUCGAGUGUUAGGCGUGUCCACUAUUGGUUUGACGUCUCCCUAUCUUCAACAAGUGAAUACGUGCACGACAGCUAUUGUGCAUCGUAGUUCUUUGAAGAACUUUAUAUUUAGUGGAAUUAAGAAUUAACAAAGGAAGAGUUAUUUCGAAUUUUAUCUCCGAGAUGACGCAGUUUAUCAGCCAUAUUCCUGUUGAUAUCGCAGCAUCUCGCCAUCCCCGACCUCCACAUUCGGAACUUCAUUACUUACAUCAGCAUCACCAGCAACAACAGCAACAUCAGCGAAAGGUAUGCUUUUCCUUACACAACCAUAUUGAACCGACCGCCUGCGACGUUUCUACUCCAAAAAUUUCGAUCAUUUUCAUUUUUCAAAAAUUCUCGCCGUGAAUUAAACUAUAUAUUUGCAUGUAAAUGGAAAAUUCCCUUUUAAGUAAUUAAUCGAGGCGUGACACGAUUAACUCAGAAAAUUUCAAUUUGGUAUCUUCAGUCUACACGUUCGCGGAUCCUCAGUGACCUUUAAAGUUUUGGAUAAUGUGGAAAUUGCCAUCUUUUAUAAAUAAUCGUGUUCCAGAUUUUAUUAACAUUCCGAGGCAAAACGAUAAAUAAAGCGAGGUGUAAUUUGUGAUUACGUAUAAACACUUGUUUGUUUGUUGAUUUUAUUUAUUUAUACGUAACUUAUUAUCUAAUGUUUUUUAAAUAUAUUCAUAAAUCGAUUAAUCGUGAUAAAUAUGAUCUGAUAACCUAACAAAUUAACAAAAACAGCAUCCAGAUUAUAUAAGAAUUUAUUUUUAGCAUGUUAAUCGAAGUGAUAUCGUAUAGAUUAAUAUCACAAGCGCGUUAAUUUUGAUUGAUAUCGAUUACAUGAAUUAAUUUUUCCACUUAUUCAUGCAUAUGUAAAUUAUAUUUUUUUUUUUUUUUUUUAGAAAAAAAUUAAAAAUUUAAAAUAAAAAUUUACGAGAAUAAAUUAAUA